rnacentral:lncRNA from 1 species
UUUGCUCUCAUUUUUUCUAAAGAAUUCCUCAAUUGAAGCUAAUCUUCAUAGACUUGCUUAGGAGUAAGCGUCACCAAAGUAACAUUCUUUCCAAGAUGUUUGAAGGUAUAUUGGUUGGUAUACCCAUCAUGUAUGACUCGGCGGUCAAAUUGCCAUGGCCUCCCUAACAACAAAUGACUAGCAUGCAUCGACACUACAUCACAAACAACCUCAUUGUUG